rnacentral:rRNA from 1 species
GUCUACGGCCACACCACCCUGAACGCACCCGAUCCUGUCUGACCUCGGAAGCUAAGCCAGGCCAGGCCUAGUGAGUACUUGGAUGGGAGAUUUUAACACCUCGCUGCUGCCC